UACGUAGGGGUCGAGCGUUGUCCGGAGUUACUGGGCGUAAAGCGCGCGCAGGUGGCUCAUUACGCCCGGCGUGAAAGCCCCCGGCCUAACCGGGGAAGGUCGUCGGGUACGGGUGAGCUUGAGGGUAUCAGGGGCUGGUGGAAUUCCCGGUGUAGUGGUGAAAUGCGUAGAGAUCGGGAGGAACACCCGUGGCGAAGGCGGCCAGCUGGGAUACACCUGACACUGAGGCGCGAAAGCCAGGGGAGCGAACGGG
rnacentral:rRNA from 1 species